rnacentral:rRNA from 1 species
UACAGAGGGUGCGAGCGUUGUCCGGAAUCACUGGGCGUAAAGGGCGCGUAGGUGGUGGCUUAAGCGUGCGGUGAAAGCUCGGGGCUCAACUCCGAGUCGGCCGUGCGAACUGGGCUCACUGGAGCAUAGUAGAGGCAGGUGGAAUUCCGGGUGUAGCGGUGGAAUGCGUAGAGAUCCGGAAGAGCACCGGUGGCGAAGGCGGCCUGCUGGGCUAUGGCUGACACUGAGGCGCGACAGCGUGGGGAGCAAACAGG